GGCAUAUUUUGCCCAGGCGGAGCUCGACCGCCCGUUCCGGCGAUGAUCGCGUUUAUCGAUGAUCACCGCGAUGCUUAUGGGGUCGAGCCGAUCUGCCGCGUCCUGCCGAUCGCCCCA
rfam:Sphingomonas sp. TDK1 TDK1_contig_9, whole genome shotgun sequence.